AUUGAACGCUGGCGGCAUGCUUUACACAUGCAAGUCGGACGGCAGCACAGAGAAGCUUGCUUCUUGGGUGGCGAGUGGCGAACGGGUGAGUAAUAUAUCGGAACGUACCGAGUAAUGGGGGAUAACUAAUCGAAAGAUUAGCUAAUACCGCAUAUUCUCUGAGGAGGAAAGCAGGGGACCUUCGGGCCUUGCGUUAUUCGAGCGGCCGAUAUCUGAUUAGCUAGUUGGUGGGGUAAAGGCCUACCAAGGCGACGAUCAGUAGCGGGUCUGAGAGGAUGAUCCGCCACACUGGGACUGAGACACGGCCCAGACUCCUACGGGAGGCAGCAGUGGGGAAUUUUGGACAAUGGGCGCAAGCCUGAUCCAGCCAUGCCGCGUGUCUGAAGAAGGCCUUCGGGUUGUAAAGGACUUUUGCCAGGGAAGAAAAGGCUGUUGCUAAUAUCAAUAGCUGAUGACGGUACCUGAAGUAUAAGCACCGGCUAACUACGUG
rnacentral:rRNA from 1 species